rnacentral:rRNA from 1 species
UACAGAGGUCCCAAGCGUUGUUCGGAUUCACUGGGCGUAAAGGGUGCGUAGGUGGUCGGGUAAGUCUGAGGUGAAAUCUCCGAGCUCAACUCGGAAACUGCCUUGGAUACUAUCCGGCUUGAGGGUUGGAGGGGGGACUGGAAUUCUCGGUGUAGCAGUGAAAUGCGUAGAUAUCGAGAGGAACACCAGUGGCGAAGGCGAGUCCCUGGACAACUCCUGACGCUGAGGCACGAAAGCUAGGGGAGCAAACGGG